UACGUAGGGGGCAAGCGUUAUCCGGAUUUACUGGGUGUAAAGGGAGCGUAGACGGCGAUGCAAGCCAGAUGUGAAAGCCCGGGGCUCAACCCCGGGACUGCAUUUGGAACUGUGUGGCUGGAGUGUCGGGGAGGCAAGUGGAAUUCCUAGUGUAGCGGUGAAAUGCGUAGAUAUUAGGAGGAACACCAGUGGCGAAGGCGGCUUGCUGGACGAUGACUGACGUUGAGGCUCGAAAGCGUGGGGAGCAAACAGG
rnacentral:rRNA from 1 species